rnacentral:rRNA from 1 species
AGAGUUUGAUUCUGGCUCAGGAUGAACGCUAGCGAUAGGCUAACACAUGCAAGUCGAGGGGCAGCACACGAAGUAGCAAUACGGAUGGUGGCGACCGGCGCACGGGUGAGUAACGCGUAUGCAACCUGCCUACAACAGGGGAAUAACCCGUUGAAAGACGGACUAAUACCCCAUAACACAGGGAUCCCGCAUGGGAAUAUUUGUUAAAGAUUUAUCGGUUGUAGAUGGGCAUGCGUUCCAUUAGCUGGUUGGUGAGGUAACGGCUCACCAAGGCAACGAUGGACAGGGGAACUGAGAGGUUUAUCCCCCACACUGGUACUGAGACACGGACCAGACUCCUACGGGAGGCAGCAGUGAGGAAUAUUGGUCAAUGGACGCAAGUCUGAACCAGCCACGUCGCGUGAAGGAAGACGGCCCUACGGGUUGUAAACUUCUUUUGUAAGGGAAUAAAGUGCAGUACGUGUACUGUUUUGCAUGUACCUUACGAAUAAGGAUCGGCUAACUCCGUGCCAGCAGCCGCGGUAAUACGGAGGAUCCGAGCGUUAUCCGGAUUUAUUGGGUUUAAAGGGUGCGCAGGCGGGAGAUUAAGUCGGCGGUGAAAUUUUGCAGCUCAACUGUAAAAGUGCCUUCGAAACUGGUUUUCUUGAGUGUGGAUGAAGUAGGCGGAAUUUGUGGUGUAGCGGUGAAAUGCAUAGAUAUCACGAGGAACUCCGAUUGCGCAGGCAGCUUAUUAAACCAUGACUGACGCUCAGGCACGAAGGCGUGGGGAUCAAACAGGAUUAGAUACCCUGGUAGUC